GGCUGGUCCGAGUGCAGUGGUGUUUACAACUAAUUGAUCACAACCAAUUACAGAUUCCUUUGCUCCUUCUCCACCCCCACUGCUUCACUGGACUAGCUUAAA
rnacentral:Y_RNA from 1 species